rnacentral:rRNA from 1 species
UACACAUGCAGUCCAACGGAAAGGCUCCUGCUUGCAGGGGUACUCGAGUGGCGAACGGGUGAGUAACACGUGGGUGAUCUGCCCUGCACUUCGGGAUAAGCCUGGGAAACUGGGUCUAAUACCGGAUAGGACGAUGGUUUGGAUGCCAUUGUGGAAAGUUUUUCGGUGUGGGAUGAGCUCGCGGCCUAUCAGCUUGUUGGUGGGGUAAUGGCCUACCAAGGCGUCGACGGGUAGCCGGCCUGAGAGGGUGUACGGCCACAUUGGGACUGAGAUACGGCCCAGACUCCUACGGGAGGCAGCAGUGGGGAAUAUUGCACAAUGGGCGCAAGCCUGAUGCAGCGACGCCGCGUGGGGGAUGACGGCCUUCGGGUUGUAAACUCCUUUCGCUAGGGACGAAGCGCAAGUGACGGUACCUGGAGAAGAAGCACCGGCUAACUACGUGCCAGCAGCCGCGGUAAU